CGUACGGGUGAGUAACACGUAUCCAACCUGCCGUCUACUCUUGGACAGCCUUCUGAAAGGAAGAUUAAUACAAGAUGGCAUCAUGAGUCCACAUGUUCACAUGAUUAAAGGUAUUCCGGUAGACGAUGGGGAUGCGUUCUAUUAGAUAGUAGGCGGGGUAACGGCCCACCUAGUCUUCGAUGGAUAGGGGUUCUGAGAGGAAGGUCCCCCACAUUGGAACUGAGACACGGUCCAA
rnacentral:rRNA from 1 species